GCCUCUUCAAGUAUGUUUUUUGUUACUGCUUGGUCAAGGUCAUAAUAUACUGGUUGCUUCCAAUUGGAGCAUAAUCCCCGAGCAGUCAUCACCUGAACCGUGCGAUUGGGACCAAAUACCAUUUCGUAUUUUUUCUCUAAACAAAUUUGACUUUUGAUGAACAUUUCAUCAAAACUUAUGACUGUUAGCCGUUCAAUAACUGAAAGAUCCUUUGCUUUUUGCUGCAUUAACUUUGCAACAUUUUUUAGGUGUCCUGGUCUAACGUCAAAUGUAGCAGCCCAACGUCGCAGUGUGCUCAGGGAUGGAAGAGGGAAAUGACAAUGGUAUUUUAGAUCCACUUUUGUCUGGUGUGAAAGGACCUGCUGUAGAUGAACGUCGAGCUAUCGGCGACUGUUGAGCACAGGGUGAUCGUCGCGUAAUAGGUGAACGUUGUGCUGAAGACGAAUUUUGAGAAGCUACAGAAACAGUUUUUGUCGGUACUGCUGACAUCAUGAUGCGUUUUCUCGUGGGAGGACUAUAAUCCAAAAGUUUUUGUUGAAGGGAUUUAUAGUCGAAUUUGUCCGAAAAAUGUUGGGAACAAAUACGAGCUGAAAUCAAUUGUUUUGAUGUCUUGUAUGUAACGUAAUAACUGACAGGUUCUAAUGACUGCUAGAUUUACCAUUUUUUGUGUUGAGAACGCGCGUACUGUUACAAAAUUGCACCCAUUUUUCACACAACUCGGGGUCUUUGGGAAAUCUAUAAAAAUGUACAUUUUUUGUUUUUCGUUGGUUAUUUUUACAACCAGACACUGCACAAGUUGCCAUCACAAAUUAAAUUAUUGGUGUAUCGUAAGGCUAAUAAAAACUAACUAGUCA